GUUGUAUAGUCAAGUAAUUAAGUGCAUGUGGUGGAUGCCUUGGCAGUCAGAGGCGAUGAAAGACGUGAUAGCCUGCGAAAAGCUCCGGGGAGGCGGCA
rnacentral:rRNA from 1 species